rnacentral:sRNA from 1 species
AUAGGUUCAGAAGUGCAAAAAACCGAUGCAAGCUCGCUUGCAAGAGGUUUUUUGGAUUUUUGAACCGCAAAAACAUGAGUAAGUAGCCAUUUUUCUUUGAAAAAUGUGCGGAUUACGAAUGUUUUUUAGGAUUGCGAAGUGCAAAGCACGCAAC